CCCCCAGUGCCAACCAGCGUAAUCAGCUCGCUCUCCUACUGGCUGCUGACGGCAGCCUGAGCUGGUAGGAGAGGGGAAUUCUGGUCAGGUUAGGAGUGGUUCUAGGACUCCAGGGCCCUCUUAGGGAGAACAGGCUGGAGAACGUUCCAAGGCAAGCGACUUGUGACCAGCCCUACUGAAAACCAGAAGAGAGAAAAAGGAAGAAAGCAGAAGGAAACACAGCUGUGGGAGUAGGUCUGAGGGAUAGAGCAAAUGCACAGUGUACGUGGCCCUUGCAAACAGCGCUAAUCUGCAGGGAGCAGGCAUCACAUGCGAUGUUGCUGGCUUCCCUGCCACGCCAACUGGAGGAGAAGGCCAUCCUGGGGAUGAGGAAUGAUGAGUCCAGAAGACCCUAGCCUCCUUCUCUUGGCCCCCGGGGAGGCUCAUGGUUUCUGUUUGGUGGCACUCAGAGUUUUCUGGCUGCGCCUGUGAGUACUGCCAGCUAGGAGGCCACUCUUGAGUUCUCUGCCCUACAGCUGCUGCCCUCACCCAUGUGGACCCUGGACCAGACCAAAGGAAAGACCUAGGGUCUGAAGUUCCAGCCCCAGCUCUGCUAGUUAAUGGCUGUGUGACCUUGGGGAGCUGACUUACCCUUUCCAAACUUCAGCUUCAUUACAUGUAAACUGGUGGGUUUCCAGAUUGCUCCAGUUCUCAUUAAUGGGUUUCCACUGAGCACAGGUGCCAUUCUCUUUAGGAGCCUGGGACAGGUGUUUGCUGGAGGGCUGGGUUGGGAGACAUUUCAGGGUCCCUACUCAGAAAUGCUUUCCUCCAGUGAAGAUAGAUGACUGAGCCCAGCUCCUGCCUCUCCUGGAUACCCUUCCCAGACUUCAAGGACAGCCUUGGUCCCCUUUUCCUCAAUUCAAGUCCUUAAUAUUAGUGUCCUGAAGUCAAAGUUUUCUUUAUUGGGAAAAACCCCAGUGCAUCUCCAUGAAAACUGGAAUCCUAGUGAGCCAUCCUAACACCCACCCCAAC
rnacentral:lncRNA from 1 species